rnacentral:tRNA from 1 species
GGUCCGGUAGCUCAGCGAAUAGAGCAACUGCCUUCUAAGCAGUAGGUCAUUGGUUUGAAUCCAAUCCGGAUCA